rnacentral:rRNA from 1 species
UACGGGGGGGGCAAGCGUUGUUCGGAAUUACUGGGCGUAAAGGGCGCGUAGGCGGCGCGGUAAGUCACUUGUGAAAUCUCUGAGCUUAACUCAGAACGGUCAAGUGAUACUGCUGUGCUAGAGUGCGGAAGGGGCAAUCGGAAUUCUCGGUGUAGCGGUGAAAUGCGUAGAUAUCGAGAGGAACACCUGAGGUGAAGACGGGUUGCUGGGCCGACACUGACGCUGAUGCGCGAAAGCCAGGGGAGCAAACGGG